rnacentral:rRNA from 1 species
AUUGAACGCUGGACGGCAUGCCUUACACAUGCAAGUCGAACGGUAACAGCACUUCGGUGGCUGACGAGUGGCGAACGGGUGAGUAAUACGAUCGGAACGUGCCCGAGAGUGGGGGAUAACGCAGCGAAAGCUGUGCUAAUACCGCAUACGAUCUACGGAUGAAAGCAGGGGACCGCAAGGCCUUGCGCUCAUGGAGCGGCCGAUGGCAGAUUAGGUAGUUGGUGGGAUAAAAGCUUACCAAGCCGACGAUCUGUAGCUGGUCUGAGAGGACGACCAGCCACACUGGGACUGAGACACGGCCCAGACUCCUACGGGAGGCAGCAGUGGGGAAUUUUGGACAAUGGGGGAAACCCUGAUCCAGCCAUGCCGCGUGCAGGAUGAAGGCCUUCGGGUUGUAAACUGCUUUUGUACGGAACGAAAAGGUCUUUUCUAAUAAAGAAGACUCAUGACGGUACCGUAAGAAUAAGCACCGGCUAACUACGUG